rnacentral:tRNA from 1 species
GCAGGGGUGGCCAAGCCCGGUUUAAGGCAGUCGGCUGCAGACAACCUUUAGGAAAGGUUGACGAAAAAGGGAUCUUACAGACCCCGGGUCGCAUUCGGCGACAGAAACCGACGAUCGUGAGUUCAAAUCUCACCCCCUGCU